AAAUAAUAAGAAUAUAUUUUCCUUCUUCUCUUGGGCUUCAUUAUUUUUGUGAUUCGUUUUUUACAGAUUAUUCCAUCAAUAACUCAAGCAAUGUGAUGAAAAAUUAUUUUCAAAAAGUGCAUGUGAGGCACAGGUGUUGUUGUUACCCGUUUGGAAUCGCCAUCCUUACUGUGUGGCUUCCAAACGUUAUUCUUUUCUUGGUGACUGAUGUGAGAGUCGGCGAAUGAGGGAGCAGAGUUGGGUCUUGUGAGCGCAGUUUAGCAACUGACU